rnacentral:rRNA from 1 species
AGAGUUUGAUCCUGGCUCAGGAUGAACGCUGGCGGUACGUCUGACACAUGCAAGUCGAACGGUAAGCCACCUUCGGGUGGCCUAGAGUGGCGAACGGCUGAGUAACACGUAGGAACCUACCCCUCAGUCUGGGAUAACGGGACGAAAGCCCCGCUAACACCGGAUAAUAUCGAAAGAUUGAAAGGUUACGCUGAGGGAGGGGCCUGCGGGCUAUUAGCUUGAUGGUGGGGUAACGGCUCACCAUGGCGAUGAUGGCUAGCUGGUCUGAGAGGAUGAUCAGCCAGACUGGGACUGAGACACGGCCCAGACUCCUACGGGAGGCAGCAGUUCAGAAUCUUGCACAAUGGGCGAAAGCCUGAUGCAGCGAUACCGCGUGGGUGAAGAAGGCCUUCGGGUCGUAAAGCCCUGUCAGAGGGAAAGAUAAUGACGGUACCCUCUAAGGAAGCCACGGCUAAUUACGUGCCAGCAGCCGCGGUAAUACGUAAGUGGCGAGCGUUAUCCGGAAUUACUGGGCGUAAAGCGUGCGUAGGCGGUUUAGUGUGUGGGAUUUGAAAGCCCGGGGCUCAACUCCGGAUCCGGAUCCCAAACUGCUAGACUCGAGAGUAUCAGAGGAGAGCGGAAUUCCCGGUGUAGCGGUAAUAUGCGUGGAUAUCGGGAGGAACACCAGUGGCGAAGGCGGCUCUCUGGGGUAUUUCUGACGCUGAGGCACGAAAGCCAGGGGAGCGAACGGGAUUAGAUACCCCUGUAGUCC